UACGUAGGGGGCAAGCGUUGUCCGGAAUCAUUGGGCGUAAAGAGCGCGUAGGCGGUCCGGUAAGUCCGCUGUGAAAGUCAAGGGCUCAACCCUUGAAUGCCGGUGGAUACUGUCGGGCUAGAGUCCGGAAGAGGCGAGUGGAAUUCCUGGUGUAGCGGUGAAAUGCGCAGAUAUCAGGAGGAACACCAAUGGCGAAGGCAGCUCGCUGGGACGGUACUGACGCUGAGGCGCGAAAGCGUGGGGAGCGAUCCGG
rnacentral:rRNA from 1 species